GAAGCCCUGCUGGAAGGCGGAGAGGCGGCGCGUCUUGCGGAUGAGGACGUCGGCGAUCUGGCACAUCUCGAUGCUGAUGAAGAACACGGUGUAGCAGGUAUACUGCUGGUAGAGGCGCUGCCCGAACGUCUGCGGGCCGGAGGGGAGCAGAAGCGGCCUGAGCCCGGAUGGGGAGGGCCUGCGGCCGUAGCCCCUCCCAGCAGAGGAUGGAGUCGGGGAGAAGAGAGAGACGCCGACUGCCAGGUCUAAGCCGACCUGAGGGUCCACCUGUGCGGCCACGUCUGUACUUCUGCCUGGGACCACCCGCCUGCCCGCCUGCGCGUCCCCAUCUGUCUGCCUUUGCACCCUGUGUCCAAGAGCGUCUGCGGGCCCCAUCCAUCACGGCUGUCGGCGGGGCUGGAGACUCACGAUGUCGGUGCAGAGCUCUAUGAAGAGGAUGGUGAUGCAGCCGAGGGGCAGGGGCACGCUGACAGUGAUGUAGAUGAGGUACACGGAGGCGGGCGGCGAUGUCCUCCACCGUCUCGCUGCCUUCCGAAAUGAUACCCACACUGGCCGCAAUGGCCUUGGCCGUGAUGGGGUGGUCACCCGUCACCAUGAUCACCUGUUGGGGAGGGGACCAUCAGACCCUUGAUGCCUUCAGUGCAGCCCACUCUCCUCGUCCUCCCUGCUGGCCAUCUACUGAUAGACCCGUUCGCUUAUUCAACCACUGAAUGUCAGGGACAAAACAGACGAAAAUCUCUGUUCUCAUGGAGCCAACCCUCUAGCGCGGGAGACAGAAGAGACGCAAACUAAGGGGACAAAUGAUACAGCCCGUUAGGAGAGAGGAAAAUUAAGCUGAGUAAAGGGGAUGGCAAAUGUUGGGUGGAAAAAGAGGUGUCGAUUUUUUUUUUUUUAAGAUUUUAUUUAUUUAUUUGA